rnacentral:rRNA from 1 species
UACCUGGUUGAUCCUGCCAGUAGUCAUAUGCUUGUCUCAAAGAUUAAGCCAUGCAUGUCUAAGUAUAAGCACUUGUACUGUGAAACUGCGAAUGGCUCAUUAAAUCAGUUAUCGUUUAUUUGAUUGUACUUUACUACAUGGAUACCUGUGGUAAUUCUAGAGCUAAUACAUGCGAAAAGUCCCGACUUCUGGAAGGGAUGUAUUUAUUAGAUUAAAAGCCAAUGCGGGUCAAACCGUCUACUUGGUGAAACAUGAUAACUUAUCGAAUCGCAUGGCCUUGCGCCGGCGAUAUUUCAUUCAAAUUUCUGCCCUAUCAACUUUCGAUGGUAAGGUAGUGGCUUACCAUGGUCGUAACGGGUGACGGAGAAUUAGGGUUCGAUUCCGGAGAGGGAGCCUGAGAAGCGGCUACCACAUCUAAGGAAGGCAGCAGGCACGAAAAUUACCCAAUCCCAAUUCGGGGAGGUAGUGACAAGAAAUAACAAUACGGGGUCUUUAUAGGUCUCGCAAUUGGAAUGAGUACAAUUUAAAUCCUUUAACGAGUACCCAUUGGAGGGCAAGUCUGGUGCCAGCAGCCGCGGUAAUUCCAGCUCCAAUAGC